rnacentral:rRNA from 1 species
UACGAAGGGGGCUAGCGUUGCUCGGAAUCAUUGGGCGUAAAGCGCACGUAGGCGGUUCGUUAUGUCGGAUGUGAAAGCCCUUGGCUUAACCGAGGAAGUGCAUCCGAAACUGGCGAGCUAGAGUACGAAAGAGGAUCGCGGAAUUCCCGGUGUAGAGGUGAAAUUCGUAGAUAUCGGGAGGAACACCGGUGGCGAAGGCGGUUCUCUGGGCCUGUACUGACGCUGAGGAGCGAAAGCGUGGGGAGCGAACAGGGA